rnacentral:rRNA from 1 species
CUAGACCUGAAAUCAGUCGAGGUUACCCGCUGAAUUUAAGCAUAUUACUAAGCGGAGGAAAAGAAAAUAACUAUGAUUCCCUCAGUAACGGCGAGUGAAGCGGGAAGAGCUCAAAGUGAAAAUCGCUGUUUCUUUUGGAACUGCGAAU